UUUUUUUUUUUGAAUAAAAGUAUUAUUUAAAGUUUGGGAUUUUCGAGGGAAAUUGAGCCCUAACGUAUUGGGUUCUGGUUUUCUUUGUCAAUCUUAAAUGACCGAGAAUAUUCUUUAUUCAAAAUGCAUGAGCAUAAAAAUCAUUUUUGGGAACUUAACUUGUCGUGCCCUAACGUAUUGGGUGUAGCCUGUUACUUUCUUGAAAUGAAGAUUUUCGCAUAAAAUAAAAGUGAUAUUCAAAGUUUGGGGAUUAUGAGGAAUUGUACCCUAACGUAUUGGGACUCGAUUUCUUUACAUGACUUGAACAAUUGAUUAUCCUUUUUCAAAAUUCAUCAUUUGAGUUGAUUUUAAAAUCUUUUUAACCUUCGACACUAAGACAUUAAAUGAUCAAUUUGGUACCGAAUUUGGGCACUACGAGGGUGCUAACCCUUCCUCGUGCGUAACUGACUCCCGGACUCAUUUUCUCAAAAUUCGUAGACCAAAAUAGGGUGAGCCGAUCACACCUUAAUAAAUGAUCGGUGGCGACUCCAGUUUUAUUUUUAAACUCGACAACUAAAUUUUUGUUUUCAAAAAAUGGUUUCGACAAUAUCAACCAAAAUCAUGUACAUUUUAUGGAAAAUUAACAUCCUGUUGCUCGCUUUCAAAAUUAAUAGGGACUAAAUUGCUCUGAUUUUUUUAGGGUGACCAAUUUCCUCAAUUUGGAAAUUGAGAGAGACUAUUGAGAUCUUUUACUUUUUUUUUUAUAAAUAUAUUUUUUUAAUAUAAAAUAUAUUUGUUCACACACAUUGUGAGUAUGAUAAAAUAUUUUUAUUGUUGAUUGAGUUGGUGUCAAAAAUUGACUUGACACGAACUCAAGAUUAAUGAUAACAAUAUCAUAAAUAAUUUAUUUAUUUAAUAUUCUUAAUUUAAGAUAUUGAUGUAAAUUUUAAGACAUGCAUGUCUUGUAGAAUUGUAAUUAUACUUUUUGAGUAUUGAAUCUUUAGAUUUAUAAUUUAUAAUUCUUUUAAUUAAAGAUGAUAUACAAGUAUGAAAAGACAAAAGUGACUUAGUAAUAAUAUUAAUUAUUAAUUUUAUAAUUUCAUAAUUGAGUUGAUGAUGUAGAUGAAGGUGGCACUAACUCUAAAACACUUAAAUAUAGUAAUAGCUUAAAAAUGAGGGGUUUUUGUAAAUAUAUUACUAAGUUAGUAGCCUGAUUGAGGGUAACACAAACUCAAUAAAACUCUUAAAUAUUGACUACAAAUCCUAUCAUACACUUAUGUCUAUGAAAACCACAAAUUUAGAAUAUAAAGAUGUGUUUAAAAAUAACGUACAAUAAAGAAUGAAAUUUAUGGUUUGAAACUAAUUAAUAAUAACACAUGAAAUAUGUAUGAUAUCAAAAUGAAAAAAAAGAAAGAAUAAACUGUGCAUAAAACAAAAUUUUAUCCUAUUACAUCAAUAAAGAUAUAUUUAUUACCCUCGCCAAUAGUUUGCCAUUAAGAACAUUAAAGUAUCCUUGAAUGAUAUAAAUUAUUUUAAAUAAAGUUGAUUGGUUGGGAUACCAAUUCAGUUAGCGACUUAAAAUUAUUAAAAUAUUCUUAUUUUAAAGGGAAAUUAAUAUUAUUAUAAGUGUAUUUUCACAUUUUCAGACUUUUAUAUAAUCUUCAAGUAAAACAAUUGAAAAAUAUUAUUUGAGAAUCAAACACAAGACUAAAAAAUUCAUAUUGAAAACGCUUAUCACUCCACUAAUUCAUAUUGAAAACCUCUCCAAUCCCUAUUAAUUUCACAAUUGCGCAAAUUAGUCCCUCUCAGUUUUGAAAGUAAGUAACUAAGGAUAAUUAAUUAUGGUGUUAAAUUCUUCCAUCAAUUGUACAUAAUUUUGAUUGGUAUAGUUAUAAAUUUAGCCUUCAAUGUUUAUAUAUUUUGUCAUUUUGGCCUUAAUUUAAAAAAAAUUCAAGAAAUUCAACCUCAACAUUUACAUAUUUACACAAACGUUGCGGGAAAAUUUUGUUAAAUUAAGACCAAAUUGCAAAGUGUGUAAAUUUUGAGGGCUAAAUUUAUAAUAUACCAACCAAAAUCAUGUACAUUUUAUGGAAAGACAUGCAUAACCCAAAGAAAUGGGAUGAAACUGAUUUUCUUUGGGUUAUAAAUUUAUAAUAACAGUAAGUUAUUAACCAUACUAUUAUCAUUAAUUUUGAGUUAGUUAUAAAUUACUGUUAUACGCCCAGUAAGUUAGGGCUCAACUUUCUCGAGAAUCUUAGAUGUCAAGUGUUUUGAAAACUUACGGAUAAAAUGAUUUUAGUAUUUUAAUCAAAUGCACUCUUUCAAACAAAUGUAACGCAAUUGGAUAAUAACAUACAACACAAAAAGAUAAUUCGAAAAUAAAAUAUACAUUAAUGAGCAAUGAAUAAUCAAUAAAUAAAUACAAACAAACAUAACAACAAUAAUCUCAAUUGUACAUUAUGCCAAUAUCAAUAUCAACAUUCAAAAGCUAAUAAAAAAAACGAGCCAAUUAAUGCAAAUGUAAACUAAAUGUACAAGUAUUGGAAUAACUAAAAAAACAAAUGGCAUGAAAGAAAUGGAAGUUGUAAAUCAAUAAAGUAUAUGUACAAAAAUAUAAAAUAAAUAAUAUACAAGAAAUUGAAAUAACCAAAAAUUGAGUUAAAAAUAAAUACUAUGUGAGACAAUAAUAUUUAAACAAAUUUUAAAAUAAAUGUUGCAUAUGAGGAAAAUCAAAAUAAGUACUAUACAAAAUAAUAUACAUAUAUUAAUCUAAUAAGUGAUAUGUAUAAAGUGAAAACUCGAUAUAAAUAAUGAUAUAUGUAAUAAUAUGUAAAAGUUGAAAUAUACAAAAUAUAGAAGAGGGUAUUUUAAAGAAUGAAAUUAUAUACAUAUAAGUAGCUUUAAAAAAUAUAUUAAAAGGGGAACUAAAACAAAUCAUAGUUAUAAUAAUAUAAAAAUAAUAAUAUAUUCAUAGAAUAAAAAAUAUAUAGAUUAUAUAUAUAAAUAUAAUAAUAAUAUUGUAUGAGAAUACUAUCAUAUAAUUCUUUAAAAUGUAAAAAUAUAAAAGAAAAUUUUAAAAAUAAAUACAUUAUAAAAUAAGACUAAUAAAAUAAAAUACAUACCAAUUAUAUUAAGCCUAUAUAAAAAAAUAUACAUAAAAAUAAUAUUCGAUAGAUCUAAGUAAUGAUAUGAUAAGUUUAAAAUUAUAGUACAUGAUAAAUUUUACAUUAUGAUGUAUGAUAAAUUUAAAUAAUAUUAAUGAUAAUUUAAAAUAAUAGUAUAUGAUAUAUUAAAAUAAUACUAAUGAUAAAUUUAAAGCAAAGUUAAGCUUAAAUAUUAAAAUAAUACUAGAUUUAAAAAUAAAUAUAUCAAAAAUAAGAAUUAAUUAGAUUUAAAAUUAAACUAAUAAAAAAUAAAUUAGAAUUGAAACAUAAUUAAAAAGAGAGAAAAUAAAAUAAAAUAAUGGGUCAAAGAUUGAAUUGAAACUAAAACAAAAUUAAAGGGGCAACAAACAUAAUUAAAAAUAAAAGAAGGGCUAAAGUGCAGCGCGCGGAUAACAUGAGGGACCGAAAGGGAAAUAUUCCCAAUACCGAAAACGCAGCGCUUUAAUAUGGAUUAAAAUGAAACAAAAAUAAAUGAGGGAUUAUAUUUAAAAAGAAAUAAAAGGACUGGAUUGAAUUGCACUAGAAAUUCGGAAGGACCAAUUUCGAAAAUAACCCAUCUUCACGAAACACGCGGAUCCCCCGGGUCGGCUCAACAAGCGGAUCGACGGCUACUAAACGGCGUUUUUGGUACUAUCAAACCUCCCAAAACGGCGCCGUAUUAUGUUAUUACUUAAACAAGAUUUUUAACAAAAAAAAAGAACAUUUGCAGCAUAAGUUUUUUUGAAAAAAAGGUUGCAGCUCUUCUUCUCUGCUAGGGUUUCAACCCUAGUCCUAGCCGCCGCCAUUUCCGCCGCAUCAAACCCGAGCCCCAUCUAACUCCGAUUUGGACGGAGUAAACGGAGCCCUGACGGCGCUUUUAUGAAGGUACGAAACUGCCUUCUUCCUUCUCCUUUACCUUUUUCGCAUAUAUAUAUAUAAAAAGAAUAGCAAAUCAAAGAGAAAAGAAAUCAUAAAAAAAACUCAGAAUAUCACCUUUUAAAAAAAACUAAUGUAGUUUUUUAUUGCCCAUUUUUUGUAUUCAGUAUCCAACCCCCUACAUUGAAGCAAUCUGCUCUUUUUAUAGCCAGAUCUAAUGAAAUUACAAAGGUUUUUUAUUUUAUUUUAUUGCUAUUCCUCGUUUUCUUUGCCGUUAUUCCCUUAUGCUUCUAGUGUAUUCCUUUCUGUUUGUUGCUGUUGCAGGUACAGCUGGAGUGCACGUGGAAAACCUAAGAAGAUUACAAAAAUUCCAAAAUAAUAUAAAAAAGCUAAGGAAAACCUAGAAAUUCAAAAAAAACAAACGUCGACAUUCAAUUUGCUGUUUCACAUUCAAUUUUUGGAGAAGUAGAAUUAUUUAACUUAUUUUCCAUCAACUUCACUUCAAUUUUCAAUCACAAUCAAUUGCAUUCAAGAGCACCACAUCUUUUUGGAUGAAACAAAGCUCUCAAUUUUAAGAUAAACGGGUCUUUAGGGUUAUUAAUUGAGGGCCUUUUCCAUAAUUGCCAUCGCUAUUUACGGGUGAUUCGGGGAUAAUAACUUCAACAUUUGUGUAUCACAUUUAAUUCGAUUCCACAUUCAAUUUUUAGUUUUUAGAGAGAUGAUUGGAUUACAACAAUGGUUUGAAGUGAAGAUAUUUCAAAUGAAGAUGAAUAAUUUAAAAUUCAGGUUAUGUUUCAUUUUAACUAAGUUAAAUGUUAAGAUUGAGAUUAAACCUUUUAGAGGUUGCUCACAAAAGGAUAAGCCUUUAUAAAAGUGCUUAAAUGAAGGCCAAAUUUUUUAAAAUAGGCAAAUAAGGUCCUAACCUUUUAAAAGGUGUUUAAAUAAAGGCUUCUCAAAUGUUGUAUAUCAGGUUAUGUAUUUUACUCUAAACACAUCGACAUUUACCUAUUUUUUUCUAUAAACUGAGUUGAAGUGUGUGAAAAAUCCUUAUUUGAACACUUCUGUAAGGGUUAAACUCUUACUGAACCAUUUUGAAAGGUUUAGUCCUUAUGUAAGCAACCUCUAAAAGAAAUACCUAAAUAUGUUUUCAUGAAUCAAGAAAUUAAAAAAGAAAUGUUGAGAAAUAUUUUAGAGAUUCUUAGCUUUGACAAGUUCCCUCCACCAUCUCCCUGCCUCCAGUCCCACUCUUCUCUUAUGCUCCUCCCAGGUUCUUGCUUUUUGUGUGUUGAAAAUUCAAAUGAACUAAAUAUCAACCUACAUCAUAAGGCACGAAAAUAUCAACCUACAUCAUAAGGCACGAAGGCCAGAAAUUACUUGAGAUCUGACAACUUUAUUUCAUUUUCAUUUUCUGUUAUUUUCUAUGUUUCUUGUCAAAUACAAUGAAAGAAGAACAUAGAAAAAUGUUGCCUAUUUAUUUCCCAAUCAUCAUGAAAUUACUUGCCAUAGACUUAGAAUUUUCUCACCAAUUUUCAAGCAAUCUGACAUGAUUUCUCAAUCACAAUUAAUUGAAUUCAAGAUCUUUUUGGAUGACACAAACAUUUCAAUUUUAACACAAACCAAUAUUUAGGUUAUACUUCAGUGCUUGACAAGCACUGUCACAUUUAUGGGAUAAUAACUCUAACAUUUUAGGAUCACAGUUAUAUUUGACUUUAGCAUUGACAUGCUUUUUUAAUAAUUAAUCUUUUAUAACAAGGUAAAUAUAGCAUCGACAUGUUUUUGGUAGGGUCGAGCAAAACCCAAUUAAAACCGAUGAUAUUGUUAAAAUCAAUUUUAAAAUCAGUUAUAAUGGAUUAAGGUAAUUAAUUAUCGAGUAAUGAAAUGCAUAAUCAAAUCAACUGAUUUUGUUAGAAACUAAAAGAAAAAGGGUUCAGCUGAAAAAUUGAUUGCCCUAUAUUAAAAUUAACGAAUCCGAUUUUUACAUAUUAGAUAAUAUCAACAUCGCAUAUAUAAUAAGAAAAAUUACGUACAAUUAUUUAUUAUCAUAAAUGGUUAGUUUAAAUUUAAAGUAAUUUAAUAUGUUUAUUGAACAUCAACGUAUAAGCUAAAUAUGUGAAAAUAUUCUAGAAACCAUUUCUAAUUGAUGAUAGGCUAAUUCAGAAUUAAGAUUAAUAUAUAAAAACUAAAUAGUAGGGUUAUAAUCCUCAAAUUACACCUAAUUUAAUUUUUCCGACAUUCUAUUUUGGAAUAAUAGAAUCGCCUUCUUUAAAAAGAAUAUGUAUUUGUAAUAGGCCAAUUUUGGCCUGACUAAAAAUCAAAUAAAAUUAACAACCCAAUUGACCCAAUGCAACACCCAAUAACCAAGUUAGCCCAAAAUUAAAAAAACAAAAAACCCUAGAACCUUCAACCGCUGCUCUCCCACAUGCGCGCCUCCAGCCCCUUCCAUGUCACCCCACGAACGGCUUCUUCGGUAUGACGGUUUUACCUGCAAAAUAGGACCAUAAACAGCAAGAAAGAAGCACACUAUAGGCACGAUAGAAUAACAGAAAAGAAAUUGAAUAACGAGGGGGCAGAGAAAAAAAAGAUUUUUUUGAUUUGUUUAUUUUUUUUUCUUUUGGGUCGAUUCGGCGAUAUAUAAGGCCGAUCCCGAAUCUGUAAGGGGGAAUCUUGUGUUGAAAAGUAUUGAAGAAAACAGAAAACAGAGAAUAAAAAAAACAAUUUUGAAGGUAUUGAGUGGGUUUCGUUUUUCCUUUCUCUUUACCGUUUUGGUUCCUUUUUUAUUUUCUUCCUAAUUUCUUAAAACAAAUAAACGAAGUAACGAGGGAAAAAGAGAAGUUUCUUACCAGCAGAGGCGCGCCGUCGGCAUUCUUGCUGGUUUUCGGCGUGAGGAGCAAAGGAGAAGAUGAAGCAGCCCUUGCGGCUGCUGUUGCUGAAAAUGAAAUGGGGUUUUGAUUAGGGUCUGAAAUGGGUUUUAUCGGCAGCAAAUGAAAUGGGGUUUUAUUUAUGGGUUAUUUAUGUUUUUAAUCUUUUUUAUUUUUCUAUCAUUUCAAAACCAUUGUUCUUAAAUUUUUAUUUUUUUUCUUUCCUUUAAUGAAAUAUUUUACCUUUUCAUUUUACUCUAGUGCUGUGCAGAAUUUUGAAAGUGGGAUUAUUUUCCCUUUUGACCCUUCAUGCUUAUGAGCAAUUUACAAAUUAGCCCUUCUGUUUUUUUUACACUACUAUUAUUAUUAUUAUUAUUAUUAUUAUUAUUAUUAUUAUUAUUAUUAUUAUUAUUAUAGCCAUAUAUUUAUACGCAUAUACACUAUAUCAUAUAAAUGCAUAUAUAUUUUAUGAUACGUAUUCAUUUUCUAUAUAUUAUAUAUAUACAUACGUAUUUUUACACAUAUAUAUACAUGUUUUUGUAGUUUAUUUAUAUAUUGUACUUAUACAUUUUUAUAUAUUUUGUAAAUAUAUAUAUAUAUGUACAUAUCUUAAAGUACACAUACUUUUAUAUACUCCUAAAUAUCAUAAUUCUUGUAACCGUAUUUAUAAAUAUACUUCCUUACAUAUAUUUUUAUUUCAUAAUUUUAAAAUAUAUAUACAUACAUAUAUUCCUUAUAUUUUAUGUACAUACACAUACAUAUGUAUAUUAAAUUUUUCAUAUAUUUCAUGGUUUUGUUGUUUCACAACAUGUCUAUCUUCUUAUACCCAUUUAAUUACGAAAGUUUUAAUUCAACUCGUUUUUUUACUGUUUUUUUUUUUACAUUAGUUGACUCGUUUUUAUUUUAUGUUGCUUUAUUUUAUUUUAUUUUAUUUUAUCUUCUAUUGGUUUGUGCUCAUGCUUUUCUCUUUAGCAUUUUAAAAUAUGUUUGUAUUUGUUUUUUAAAAAAAUGUUUCAUUUUUUAUUGAAGCAUGAAAAUUAUUUUAUUUCUUAAAUUUUUAAAAUAUUUGGCAUUCACGUUUUUCGAGAAAGAUCGUGUCCUAACUUACUGGGCUUCAAUUCUUUCGAUGGAUUUAGAGAGCCAAGUAUUUAUUUUGCAAUAAAAUCACACAAAUAUCAAAUAAAAGCUUAUUCUCAGGAAUCCAAAAAUGUCGGGUCCUAACUUACUGGUCAUGACAUUUUAUUAUCUCGAAAUAAGAUUUUCUAAGACAAAAGGUCAUAUUCGGUAUUUGGAAUUUUGAGAAAUUGUGUCCUAACUUACUGGGUUUUGAUUUUCUUAAUUUGACCUAAAUAACCGAAUAUUCUUAGAUUUAACUGUAUGAGUUUUAAAAUCAAUAGACAAACUUAAUUUUGAAGAUUUAAAAAUAUGGUGCCCUAACUCACUGGGUGUGAUGUUUUAUUUCUCUGAAAUAAGAAUGUUUUAUUAUUUUAAUCCAUUCACGAGUUAAAAGUUUUCUCUUAAAAUCUUUUCAAAUUUUCGACACCAAGACAUUAAACAAUCAAUUCGGUAAUUUGGGCAUUACGAAGGUGCUAACCCUUCCUUGUGCGUAACUGACUCCCGAACCUGUUUCCUAAAAUUUCGUAGACCAAAUUUAUUUUUUUUAGGCGAGCUGAUCACACCUCAGUAAAGGACCGGUGGCGACUCCAAUUUUCGUUUUAAAAGUCGAUAACUAAUUUUAUUUUUCAAAAAAUGGUUUCGACAACUUGGCGACUCCACUGGGGACAUGUUAGAGAGUCGAGCCAUGAAUUGAUUAUUUUUGUCUUUUUUGUCGAAAAUCAAAAUGUUGUUUUAAAUCGUGAUUCCCCUUUGUAUUCAUUAGUUUUCAUCAUGAUAUGCUUGCUUAAUUGGUCUAAGUCUGUUAGUUUAUUUGCAUUAUGCAUUUCAUGGUCAAUUUUACCCCUCUAAGUGGGAGUGAGAAACUAGUCCUUCGUGAGGUUUUCACCUCCGUGCAGGAUAGUGGAUUGCUUUCGGGAUACAUCCGUACUUAUGUCUUUGUGAGAUUUUUAUCUUCGUGUAGCCAUAGGAAAAUGUAUCCCCCUGAACCGAACUCGAUCUAUAUGAGCCUAUAAUGGGUGAAGAUUGAUGAAUCUGCUGGUUCGGGUACCCUUGCUCUAGAAGCCAAACUUCAUAUAGUGAACCUUAGGAACUCACCCUAGGUAGAAUUACUUUGAACCUUAGUAGAUACCCGACUAGGAGUUUUUAUUAUUUUUUAAUUGUAUUGGAUUUGAUGUUUAUACCUGAUACUAACUUGUUGUGUUUUGUUUUGAAUGCAUGACAUUUUGAAUGCAUGGCAUUUCAUUAUAGAAAAAAGGUGUUGGUUCACGUUCAGUUGCUAAAUAGAGAGCUUGUUAUGGAAAACGAAUUUCUUGAUAAAGUGGAAAACAAUACGGCUACAUGAAUAUAUUCCGAGAAACACAAGAAAGGUGAUGGAGGAAUACAUGUUACUUUGUGGCUCGAGGAUUCAAGCUGAUUAUUUAAGAGUUUUUGACAUUCUAACUUCCUUAAAGAAGAUGAGGAGUAUUACGGGGAUGGGCAGACGAUGGAUCAUAACCAGGAUCAAGCAAAAGAAGAUAGAGGAGGCACCCUUUUGAAGAAUUCGCAAGGUUUAUCUUAGCAUUCGGAUGAAGAAAGAGAAGAUGUCCCUGCUUGGAGUAUGAGGGCAAAGCCGUAUAUAUACCGCUUUAUGUAAAGAAAUUUGUCUUUUAGUAAAGUUUUCUAAAUGCAAUUGAAUCAGAAUCAACGUCUCUUUAUGCAUUCAUUUCAUGCAUUUGCAUUACAUGACAUCAUAUGCAUUAAAAUCUAUUAAAAGGGCUUAAUUGAGUAAAAUUAUUUCAGUUAAUUUAGAAAACCGACACCCUUAUGGCACCCAAGCAAAGACUAGAGAAAUGGACCAAAGGUUGGAAAAAUUAGAGCGAAUGCAAAUAUAGAUGCAGGAGCAACUAACCAAAUUUCAACAGGAAAUGAGAGAUAUGAUGAUAAGAUUACAGAGAGCUAUGACGAAUCAGUUAACUCGGUUGCUAGCUGGAGAGUUAGAAAAAGGGAAAGACUCGAUGGUUUAUUGUGGGGUUGAUAAUGAGGAUCUUGCCUAUUCCCUAGGUAGUACUCCAAUAAGUGUCCAGGUCUAGCCAGAUGGGCGUCCGCAUGGGGCACUCUUUACUAUCAAAUCCUAAUAGUAUCAAACUGGUACAUCGACACCAGUGAGUUGCUUGACAGGCUCAGGAUCCAAUCUAAGGAACAAUUUAGCUAAUCCUGUUGCUCUUGAAAAUCCAGCCGAAAUAAAGCAGGCAAGGGUAGAGUACUCAGAUACUAUAAGAGCCCUAAGGAAGAAGGGGAAUAAUGGGGAUAAUGAAGGCAGAUAUAACAAGGGCCACUCAAAACCAAUCACUAUGGGCUGGACAAAGAUAGAAAUCACCAGCCAUCAGAGCCCUUUAAAGCGAGAAUCUUACACGAAGACAAAUAUAGAAAGGCUUCAGUUCACGCCUAUACCGAUGUCAUAUAGUGAGCUAUAUCAAAUCUUAUUUAAUGCACAUGUGGUGUCCCCCUUCUACUUGAAACCCAUGCAGCCCCCAUUUCCUAAAGGAUACGAUGCAAACAUCCAGUGCGAAUAUCAUGCAGGAAUCACGGGGCAUUCGAUAAAAAACUGCACCGCAUUCAAGAAGCUAGUUGAAAGGUUCAUCAAUAGGGGUAUUGUAAAGUUUGAUGACUCAUCUAAUCUGCUAUCCAAUCACAUUGAUAGUGGGGUAAGAGUGAGAGCAAGAAAGGGAUUAGCUAUUUCUGAAUUAAGAGGAAAUCAUAGAAAGACAAUGAACUAUCGUGAGUUCCAUCACGAGGAGGGAUACGAGACCCAAGAGAGUGUGGAACUCAAGGCCUUGGUUCCGGGCAUGAUAGAUGACAAAGAGAUGGAGUUUUCUAAGGAAAUUAAAGAAGUGAGAAAUAUACACACAAUGUUGGGAAGUGUUCACAUCAAUGCCAUAUAUGAAGACACACUUGAAAAUGGACCUUGUUAGAUAUCUACUCUUAUAAACUUAGGAGUGUUCUAAAUAAUCAGAUUGUAGAAGAAAUUUUUGUAGCAUCUAGAGUUUACUUAGAGUAAUGUUCAGAAAACACUUGUUACUUUUAGCCUAGAGGCAAUAAGAAUUCUUUUAUGAAAUAGGCUCAUGUUUGAACGUCGUUAUUCUAAUAAAAUACAUCUUUGCAUUUAUUUUUGAGCCAAUAUCCUUUCAUUCUUUUUGAAUAAUUUUUCUUUCAUUCUUUUGGAUUUUCUUCCAAAUCAUUCAUUCAUUCAUUCAUAAUCACUGUACAAAUAACUAUUCAUACUUCAUACAUUCUUUGUAUAUUCUUUUAUACUUAUAAUAGGUCCCUAGAUAUCAAUGUCAUGAGUGACACUGCUACAAUUUAGAAUCUCCUUUUGAGCAAGACAUGUGUUUAGAGGGAUCUCAUAACUUUGAAGAUGACAUAGACCGUGGCCUAUCUCCGGACUUGUUGAGGAUGGUAAAGCAGGAAAAGAAACAAAUUUACCUCAUGAGGAGACAAUGGAGAUUGCGACCUUGAGGGAACAUGCAUAACCAAAGAAAUAAAUGAGGACCUUAUUGAGUUACCUCAAGAGUUCAAAGAUAUCUUCACAUGGUCAUACCAGGAUAUGCCCGAGUUAAGCAUUGAUAUUGUAAUCUGAGCAACAGCAUGACGUCAAAAUUUGCAGUAUGUUUAAGAUUAACAUCAUGAACGAUGCAGUUAGAAUUCUUUACCAGGGCAAUGUCUUAUUUUUUAGCUCAUCAUAGUUUUGCCCGUUGAAGUUAAGUUUCCAUUUCUCUGUAUUUUUUGGAUUUCAUCCUAAUUGAAGAGGAAGAUCAAAAGUUUUUUCGUCAUAGUUAAAUUUCGCCCUAAAAGGCUCUAUGAGAGCAACCUGAUACCAAUGAAGAUCUUUCGCAUACAAAAUAAAAGUAGAAGAUUUUAUGUGAAAGACCUUAUCUAGAAUAACAUUGAUUCUGAUCGAAAGGGAUGACUAGGACUUGUCUAAUCUUAUGAGUGCAGUUCUUUCAAAAAAAUAAAAAAAAUAAAAAAAUAAAUAAAAAGAAAGGAAAGGAAAAAAGAAUAAAAAACAAAAACAAAAGAAACAAAAUCUCUAUCAGGGCAAUACUUUUCUCUUUAGCUUAUCGCGAUUUUUCCAUUGAAGUUGAAAUUCUUUCUCACCGGGUAUAGGCUGUGCUGAAGUAGAAUGGAGAUCCAAUCUCGAUGAUCAGUCGAACCUGAUAAAAAGAAAAGGGCUAAAAGCUGUUCAUCACGGUCAGAUGUACUAGAAACGGACGAUGCGAGCCAUUAACAAAAAGGUUCGUCCUAGAAAAUUUUGCGAGGGGGACCUAGUGUUGAAAAGAUUCUUCCUCUACAGAAGGAUUUUAGAGAAAAAUGACUGCCAAAUUGGGAAGGUCCUUAUGUUGUAAAGAAGACCUUUUCUAGAGGAGCACUGAUCUUGAGUGAGAUGGAUAGUACAAAACUUAUCGAAUCCUGCAAACUUAGAUUCAGUCAAGAAAUACUUCACUUAAAGAAGGAGAAAUGACCAAGGUGAAAACCCACAAAGGGCACUUUGAGUCUUAAAAAAAUGAAAAAAUGAAAAUGAAAUGGAGAGGUUAAGGUGAAAACCCGCAAAGGGUGCCUUAGACCAAAGGGGAUUUGAGUUGAAAACCCAAAAAGGGCAGCUCAAAUUUUGAUCAGAAUAAGCCAUGAGGUGAUCAGGGUUACUCGAGUGUUGAUCAAAGUGGGGCAUGCGGUGAUCUUGCUUUGCCUGAAUCAGCAGAAAAGGGUAUGCGACAUCUUGGAGCAUCGGAAAAGUAUUGUAGAUCUCCUAAGUACAUGUCAAACUUGGAAUGGUCUUCAGAAAGUUUGUACAGAGAGUUCAAGCUAUGAUAUCUGAGGCACCUAGCCUUCAUACUAUUUAUAUUGAAUUGUUUAUUCUUGGAAUACUUCAUUCUUUUUCAAGAGACAAGUCAAUUCCUCUUUUACUCGCAAUAUUAUUGAUAAUUUAUUCAUUUCAAGCUAUGCUCUCAAAUCAAUUCUAUUUUUUUCAUUGUUUUGUUCUUUUUUGCAAGUAUGUUGCAUUAGAAUAAUGAUUAAUGGACUAAUAAAACUUUCACAAGGGAAGUUUUACAUAUUACUCUAGCAGUCUAAAUAAUACAAGAUUUUAAAAAAAGGACUAUUGUUUAGAACGCACUAAGUUUAACGGUUGAAAUAUCUAGGAAGGAAUAGUCUAAAUUGAGACUAUCCCUUCAUAUUUUGUUGUCAAAGCAUUGAUUAAACAAAAUGACAAGAUGUCGUGUCGGUGAUAAGGCUUCAAUGAACAAGCAAGCAAUGAUCACCAAGCAAUAGGAUGAGGUUUCCUCGGAGAAGAAAGCCUUUAUUUGUGCAUGGGCAUUUGGUAUGACACCCUGGGAAUGGUGGAAAGGACCAAAGAGCUUCACAUUCUGUAUCCCUGAACUAUGAUAGGAGAGGAUUGAGAAAGGACCAGAUUUUUUUACCCUUGGGUUACAGCGGGAGAAUGAUGGUACAAAUGUUGCAUCCCAGUGGAUUGAAUUUUGAAGUUCACAGUGGGAAGCAAUUUGAUUAAGUGUUUUUUAGAGAUGCCAGCCGAGCAAGAAGGUGUUUUAGCACGUUAGUGAUAAAGCCUUAAUAAACUUCGAGUAAUGACAACCUAAGCGGGAUCAUUCUCAAAAGAAUAAUAUUCUAUAUUCAUGCAAAUGUCAUUCAUACACGUUUAGUUAGGAGCAUUUGAUUCAUUCUGAUCAUGACAUCCUAAUCACUAGGCAUAAUUAGGUUCAUAAUUGAAUUAUACAGGUCAUGCUCCCCAGAGAAUAAACCGAAGAUACCAGCCUUGUCUCCCUGGGCAGUAGUGGAGUAGGUUGAAAAUAGCAGAUAUUGUCUUCCUGUAUUGGCAGCGAAGUAGAUCGAAGAUACCAGCCUUGUCUCCUUGGGCAGUAGUGGAGUAGGCUGAAAAUAGAGAUCUUGUUUUCCUGUAUUGGCAGCGAAGUAGAUCGAAUAUCCCAACCUUGUCUCCCUGGGCAGUAGUGGAGUAGGUUGAAAAUAGCAUAUCUUGUCUUCCUGUAUUGGCAUCGAAGUAGAUCGAAGACUUCAGCCUUGUCUCUAUGGGCAGUAGUGGAGUAGGUUGAAAAUAGCAGAUCUUGUCUUCCUAUAUUAGCAUCGAAGUAGAUCGAAGACUUCAGCCUUGUCUCUAUGGGCAGUAGUGGAGUAGGUUGAAAAUAGCAGAUCUUGUCUUCUUGUAUUAGCAGUGAAGUAGAUUGAAGACCUCAGCCUUGUCUCCCUGAGCAGUAGUGGAGUAGGUUGAAAAUAGUAGAUAUUGUCUUCCUGUAUUAGCAGCGAAGUAGAUCGAAGACCUCAGCCUUGUCUCCCUGAGCAGCAAUGGAGUAGGUUGAAAAUAGCAGAUCUUGGCUUCCUGUAUUGGCAGCGAAGUAGAUCAAAGACCUCAGCCUUGUCUCCCUAAGCAGUAGUGGAGUAGGUUAAAAAUAGCAUAUCUUGUCUUCCUGUAUUGGCAGUGAAGUAGAUCGAAGAUACCAGCCUUAUCUCCCUAAGAAGCAUUGGAGUAGGUUGAAGACGGCAAAUCUUGUCUUCCUGUACUGGCAGAGAAGUAGAUCGAAGGUACCGGCCUUAUCUCCUUGAGAAGCAGUGGAGUAGGUUGAAGAUAGCAGAUUUUGUCUUCCUGUACUGGCAGAGAAGUAGAUCGAAGACGCCAGCCUUAUCUCCCUGAGAAGCAGUAGAGUAGGUUGAAGAUAGCAGAUCUUAUCUUCUUGCACUGGCAGUGAAGCAGAUCGAAGACACCGACUUUGCCUCCCUGGGUUUACAGCAGAGUAGGUUGAAAAUAGCAGAUCUUGCCUUCCUGUACUGGCAGCGAAGCAGAUCGAAGACACCAGUCUUAUCGCCUUGACGUUGCAAUGGAAUAGAUUGAAGCCACGACAACCAACAUUACUUCUCUAGCGUUGCAGCGGAGCAGAUUGAAGCCACGACGGCGAAUCUUAUCUCCCUGGCGUUAAGACUUGGAUUUGUUGAAGUGGAGUGGAUUAAACCUGUGGGCAGCGAAUCCUAUUUCUUUGGCAUUACAGUGGAAUAGAUUGAAGCCACAACGGUGGAUCUUAUUUCUCUGGUGGUGUAAUGGAAUAGGUUGAAGUCGAGACGGCGAAUCUUGUUUCCCCAACAUUGUAGUUAAACAAAUUGAAGUAAAUAAUCCUAUCUCAUUGAAGUUACAGUGGAGUGGAUUAACAUUAGAUCUUAUCUCUCUGAAGUUGUAGAAGAGCAGAUCGCAUCAAAUCUUAUCUCCCUGAAGUUGCAGUGGAACAGAUUGAAGAAAUCAAUCCUAUCUGCCUGAAGUUACAGUGGAGUGGAUUAAAAUCAGGUCUUAUCUCUCUGAAGUUACAGAAGAGCAGAUCGCAUCCAGUCUUAUCCCCCUAAAGUUGCAGUGGAGCAGACAGAAGAAAGUAAUCUUAUUUCCCUGAGGUUGCAGUGGAGUGGAUUAAAAUCACAGAUCUCACCUCUCUAGAGUUGCCGUAGAGUGGAUCGCAUCAGACUUAUCUCUAAAGUUGUAGUAAAACAAGUUGAAGCUAUGAGUCUUAUCUCUCUGAAGUUGUAGUGGAGCAGACUAGAGAUAGCAAAAUUUUCUCUUUUGAGAAACUACAAGGUACAAGUCCUAUCUCCUUGAUGUUGCAGUGGAGUGGAUUAAAGCACCGAUUCCUAUACCUCUGAAGACGCAGUAGGUUGGAAUGAAGCUACUUGAAGAGCACCAAAGUCCAGCACGACUAGGCAAAAUUGGUCAUUUCUAAAGUCUUUGCUCUGUUCUCGUUACACGAUAACGAGCAAAGAGGGGCAGCUGUAAUAGGCCAAUUUUGGCCUGGCUAAAAAUCAAAUAAAAUUAACAACCCAAUUGACCCAAUGCAACACCCAAUAACCAAGUUAGCCCAAAAUUAAAAAAACAAAAAACCCUAGAACCUUCAACAGCUGCUCUCCCACAUGUGUGCCUCCAGCCCCUUCCAUGUCACCCCACGAACGGCUUCUUCAGUAUGACGAUUUUACCUGCAAAAUAAGACCAUAAACAGCAAGAAAAAAGCACACUAUAGGCAUGAUAGAAUAACAUAAAAGAAAUUGAAUAACGAGGGGGCAGAGAAAAAAAGAUUUUUUUAUUUGUUUAUUUUUUUCUUUUGGGUCGAUUCGACGAUAUAUAAGGCCGAUUCCGAAUCUGUAAGGGGGAAUCUUGUGUUGAAAAGUAUUGAAGAAAACAAAAAACUGAGAAUAAAAAAAACAAUUUUGAAGGUAUUGAGUGGGUUCCAUUUUUCCUUUCUCUUUACCGUUUUGGUUCCUUUUUUAUUUUCUUCCUUCUUUUUUAAAACAAAUAAACAAAGUAACGAGGGAAAAAGAGAAGUUUCUUACUAGCAGAGGCGCGCCGUCGGCAUUCUAGCUGGUUUUCGGUGUAAGGAGCAAAGGAGAAGAUGAAGCAACCCUUGUGGCUGCUGUUGCUGAAAAUGAAAUGGGGUUUUGAUUAGGGUCUGAAAUGGGUUUUAU
rnacentral:lncRNA from 1 species